UCUGCGAUUUCCGAAUGGGGAAACCCAACUGCAUAAGCAGUUACUGUUAACUGAAUACAUAGGUUAACAGAGCAAACCGGGGGAACUGAAACAUCUAAGUACCCCGAGGAGAAGAAAUCAACCGAGAUUCCGGUAGUAGCGGCGAGCGAACCUGGAUUAGCCCUUAAGCACUCGGUGAAGUAGGUGAACAAGCUGGAAAGCUUGGCGAUACAGGGUGAUAGCCCCGUAACCGACGCUUCAUCGAGCGUGAAAUCGAGUAGGGCGGGACACGUGAUAUCCUGUCUGAAUAUGGGGGGACCAUCCUCCAAGGCUAAAUACUCCUGACUGACCGAUAGUGAACCAGUACCGUGAGGGAAAGGCGAAAAGAACCCCUGUGAGGGGAGUGAAAUAGAACCUGAAACCGUGUACGUACAAGCAGUAGGAGCACCUUCGUGGUGUGACUGCGUACCUUUUGUAUAAUGGGUCAGCGACUUAUAUUCAGUGGCAAGGUUAACCGUAUAGGGGAGCCGUAGCGAAAGCGAGUCUUAACUGGGCGCUCAGUCUCUGGAUAUAGACCCGAAACCGGGUGAUCUAGCCAUGGGCAGGUUGAAGGUUGAGUAACAUCAACUGGAGGACCGAACCGACUAAUGUUGAAAAAUUAGCGGAUGACUUGUGGCUAGGGGUGAAAGGCCAAUCAAACUCGGAGAUAGCUGGUUCUCCCCGAAAGC
rnacentral:rRNA from 1 species